AGUUUUGCGGAGUGGCGGUUCCAUAGCCAAUGAGGUUUAUCCGAGGUGUGGUUAUUGCUAGUUGAAAACUAAACUAUAAAGUGCAGCACCAUGUUGAUCUUCUAAAGUUAUAUAAUCGGUUAGUCUGCAAUGACUUAAUUACUGGACACGUGUACUAGU
rfam:Lingula anatina scaffold14, whole genome shotgun sequence.